GGAAAAGUUCUUCCACCACUUUUAAACUCUCAUGGAACAAUUAAAAGGUGUGUGCUCAAAAAAAUAAUUGUUUAAUUGUUCCAUGAGAGUUUAAAAGUGGUGGAAGAACUUUUCCU
rnacentral:miRNA from 1 species